AUUCCUUGAACCCGUGAAAAUUCACUGGGAGCCAAGGGUUGAGACCGUACCAAGAACCGACACUGGUGCCCCUGGGUGAGAAGCCCAAGGCGUAUUGGACGAAUCUACGCGAGGGAACUCGGCAAACUAGCCUCGUAUCUUCGGUAGAAGGGGUGCCUAUUCCGAGAAGGAAUAGGUCGCAGUGGCUAGGGGACUCCGACUGUUUAACAAAAACACAGAUCGCAGCUAGCCCGAAAGGGUGUGUAUUGCGGUUGAAGCCUGCCCAGUGGCGGUACCUGAAGACCCGGUUCAACGGGGUGAAGGGCCGCUAAACGGCGGGGGUAACUAUGACCCUCUUAAGGUAGCGUAAUACCUAGCCGCUUAAUUGGCGGCUUGCAUGAAGGUCCAACGAGGGUCCCACUGUCCCCGCGUUGAGUCCAGUGAAAUUGAUGUACUGGUGCACAAUCCAGUCUCUCCCACGUGAAAGCGAAGUCCCCGUGGAGCUUUACUGCAGCCUGUUGCUGUGAUAUGGUCCCGGAUGUGUAGUGUAGGCGGGAGCCGUCGAAGGGUGCUCGUCAGGGUACCUGGAGGCGCCGAUGAAACACCGCCCUUCUGGGGUUAUGUCACUAACCUGAUGAAGGGACACCGAUAGGUGGGCAGUUUGGGUGGGGCGCCACGCCCUCGAAAAGAUAACAAGGGCCCCCAAAGGUUGGCUCAGGAGGGUCAGCAAUCCUCCGUAGAGUGUAAGGGCAAAAGCCAGCUUGACUGGUUCACACACAAUAAGGGAACCAGAUGCGAAAGCAAGGCCUAGCGAACCACCCAGUCCUCCUUAGUGGGGGCGGGUGAUAAGAGAGAAGUUACCCCAGGGAUAACUGAGUCGUCUCCGGCAAGAGUUCAUAUCGACCCGGAGGUUUGCUACUUCGAUGUCGUCUGUUCCUAUCCUGGCGGUGCAGCAGCUGCCAAGGGUGGGGCUGUUCGCCCAUUAAAAGGGAUCCUGAGAUGGGUUCACUACGUUGCGAGACAGUAGGGUUGCUUCUCCGUGGGAGUGCGUCGAUGCCUGAAGGGAAGGACCCUUUAGUACGAGAGGAACGGGGGUUCGUGGCCUCUAGUUUACCGGUUGUCUGACAAGGCAUUUGCCGGGCAGCCACGUCAUAAGCGGAUAAGAGCUGAAGGCAUCUAAGCUCGAAGCCGUCCCUGAAAAGAGG
rnacentral:rRNA from 1 species